UACACGACCGUACCGCAAACCGACACUGGUGCGCGAGAUGAGUAUUCUAAGGCGCUUGAGAGAACUCAGGAGAAGGAACUCGGCAAAUUGACAACGUAACUUCGGAAGAAGGUGUGCCUUUAGUAGGUGAACCUGUACAAGGGGAGCCCAAUGAGGUUGCAAAAAAUCGGUGGCUGCGACUGUUUAAUAAAAACACAGCACUCUGCAAACACGAAAGUGGACGUAUAGGGUGUGACGCCUGCCCGGUGCUGGAAGAUUAAAUGAUGGGGUGCAAGCUCUUGAUUGAAGUCCCAGUAAACGGCGGCCGUAACGAUAACGGUCCUAAGGUAGCGAAAUUCCUUGUCGGGUAAGUUCCGACCUGCACGAAUGGCGUAACGAUGGCCACACUGUCUCCUCCUGAGACUCAGCGAAGUUGAAAUGUUUGUGAUGAUGCAAUCUCCCCGCGGAAAGACGGAGAGACCCCAUGAACCUUUACUGUAGCUUUGUAUUGGACUUUGAACAGAUCUGUGUAGGAUAGGUGGGAGGCUUUGAAGUGUGGUCGCUAGAUCGCAUGGAGCCAACGUUGAAAUACCACCCUGGUGUGUUUGAGGUUCUAACCUAGGCCCGUAAUCCGGGUCGGGGACAGUGCAUGGUAGGCAGUUUGACUGGGGCGGUCUCCUCCCAAAGCGUAACGGAGGAGUUCGAAGGUACGCUAGGUACGGUCGGACAUCGUGCUAAUAGUGCAAUGGCAUAAGCGUGCUUAACUGCGAGACUGACAAGUCGAGCAGAUGCGAAAGCAGGACAUAGUGAUCCGGUGGUUCUGUAUGGAAGGGCCAUCGCUCAACGGAUAAAAGGUACUCUGGGGAUAACAGGCUGAUACCGCCCAAGAGUUCAUAUCGACGGCGGUGUUUGGCACCUCGAUGUCGGCUCAUCUCAUCCUGGGGCUGUAGCCGGUCCCAAGGGUAUGGCUGUUCGCCAUUUAAAGAGGUACGUGAGCUGGGUUUAAAACGUCGUGAGACAGUUUGGUCCCUAUCUUCCGUGGGCGCUGCAGAUUUGAGGAAGCCUGCUCCUAGUACGAGAGGACCGGAGUGGACACACCUCUGGUGUAUCGGUUGUCACGCCAGUGGCAUUGCCGAGUAGCUAUGUGUGGAAGAGAUAACCGCUGAAAGCAUCUAAGCGGGAAACUCGUUUCAAGAUGAGAUCUGCCGGGGCCUUGAGCCCCCUAAAGAGUCGUUCAAGACCAGGACGUUGAUAGGUCGGGUGUGGAAGCGCAGUAAUGCGUUAAGCUAACCGAUACUAAUUGCUCGUGCGGCUUGACC
rnacentral:rRNA from 1 species